UGAAUACUCCCUCAGUCCGGGAAAAUUUGUCACUCAAAUAAAUGUAUUUAGCACCAAGUUAGUGCUAGAUACAUCCAUUUAAGGGACAAGCUUGCGACAAGGUUUUUCGGACGGAGGGAGUACAUC
rfam:Triticum aestivum genome assembly, contig: Triticum_aestivum_CS42_TGACv1_scaffold_194379_3AL